AGCUCCAAUAGCGUAUAUUAAAGUUGCUGCAGUUAAAAAGCUCGUAGUUGGAUUUGUGGCGCGGCCGUCCGGCGGGGGUCCUUCUAUGGUCUCGUUUGUCCUGGUUUUCGGCCGCUCCUUUCUCGGGUAGAGCGUAAUGGCUGGCAUUAGGUUGUCGGCCGCUUCGCGCCCGUCGUUUACUGUGAAAAAAUUAGAGUGUUUCAGGCAGGCUUAUGCCGGAAUACAUUAGCAUGGAAUAAUGGAACAGGACCUGUGCGUCUCUCGGGGCGCCGGUCUCCGUUAUUGGUUUCGGGGACUAAUGUAAUGAUUAAUAGGGAUAGUUGGGGGCAUUAGUAUUUAAUAGUCAGAGGUGAAAUUCUCGGAUUUGUUAAAGACUAACUUAUGCGAAAGCAUUUGCCAA
rnacentral:rRNA from 1 species